AAUGCUUAGGAAUCUGCCUAUUAGUGGGGGACAACGUUCCGAAAGGAACGCUAAUACCGCAUACGCCCUAAGGGGGAAAGCAGGGGAUCUUCGGACCUUGCGCUAAUAGAUGAGCCUAAGUCAGAUUAGCUAGUUGGUGGGGUAAAGGCCUACCAAGGCGACGAUCUGUAGCGGGUCUGAGAGGAUGAUCCGCCACACUGGGACUGAGACACGGCCCAGACUCCUACGGGAGGCAGCAGUGGGGAAUAUUGGACAAUGGGGGGAACCCUGAUCCAGCCAUGCCGCGUGUGUGAAGAAGGCCUUUUGGUUGUAAAGCACUUUAAGCGAGGAGGAGGCUACUAGUAUUAAUACUACUGGAUAGUGGACGUUACUCGCAGAAUAAGCACCGGCUAACUCUGUGCCAGCAGCCGCGGUAAUACAGAGGGUGCGAGCGUUAAUCGGAUUUACUGGGCGUAAAGCGUGCGUAGGUGGCCAAUUAAGUCAAAUGUGAAAUCCCCGAGCUUAACUUGGGAAUUGCAUUCGAUACUGGUUGGCUAGAGUAUGGGAGAGGAUGGUAGAAUUCCAGGUGUAGCGGUGAAAUGCGUAGAGAUCUGGAGG
rnacentral:rRNA from 1 species